CGAGCUGGCCGGACAAUCGCUGUUUCUCUUCUGGGGAGCGGAGGAAAGUCCGGGCUCCAUAGGGUGGAACGCCAGGUAACGCCUGGGGGGCGCGAGCCUACGGAAAGUGCAGCAGAGAGUAGACCGCCGAUGGCUUCCCCGGAAGCACAGGUAAGGGUGAAAGGGUGCGGUAAGAGCGCACCGCGCGGCUGGUAACAGUCCGCGGCACGGUAAACCCCGUUCGGAGCAAGACCAAAUAGGCCCUCUACAGGUGUGACCCGCACUGAGGGCGGGUAGGUCGCUUGAGGUGUCUGGUGACAGGCAUCCCAGAUGAAUGAUUGUCCUCGACAGAACCCGGCUUACAGGCCAGCUCACCAA
rnacentral:RNase_P_RNA from 3 species